rnacentral:rRNA from 1 species
UCGAGCGGGCGUAGCAAUACGUCAGCGGCAGACGGGUGAGUAACGCGUGGGAACGUACCUUUUGGUUCGGAACAACACAGGGAAACUUGUGCUAAUACCGGAUAAGCCCUUACGGGGAAAGAUUUAUCGCCGAAAGAUCGGCCCGCGUCUGAUUAGCUAGUUGGUAGGGUAACGGCCUACCAAGGCGACGAUCAGUAGCUGGUCUGAGAGGAUGAUCAGCCACAUUGGGACUGAGACACGGCCCAAACUCCUACGGGAGGCAGCAGUGGGGAAUAUUGGACAAUGGGGGCAACCCUGAUCCAGCCAUGCCGCGUGAGUGAUGAAGGCCCUAGGGUUGUAAAGCUCUUUUGUGCGGGAAGAUAAUGACGGUACCGCAAGAAUAAGCCCCGGCUAACUUCGUGCCAGCAGCCGCGGUAAUACGAAGGGGGCUAGCGUUGCUCGGAAUCACUGGGCGUAAAGGGUGCGUAGGCGGGUCUUUAAGUCAGGGGUGAAAUCCUGGAGCUCAACUCCAGAACUGCCUUUGAUACUGAAGAUCUUGAGUUCGGGAGAGGUGAGUGGAACUGCGAGUGUAGAGGUGAAAUUCGUAGAUAUUCGCAAGAACACCAGUGGCGAAGGCGGCU